AGCAGCCGCGGUAAUUCCAGCUCCAAUAGCGUAUAUUAAAGUUGUUGCAGUUAAAAAGCUCGUAGUUGAAUUUCGAGAUCAAUUUGUCGGUCGUGCCUCGGUACGUACUGGCAUUAUUGAUUUCUCCCUUCUGAAGAACCGCGAUGUCAUUAAUUUGGUGUCGUGGGGAAUCAGGACUGUUACUUUGAAAAAAUUAGAGUGUUUAAAGCAGGCUCACGCUUGAAUACAUUAGCAUGGAAUAAUGAAAUAGGACGUUUGAUUCUAUUUUGUUGGUUUCUAGGAUCGACGUAAUGAUUAAUAGGGAUAGUUGGGGGCAUUAGUAUUCAAUUGUCAGAGGUGAAAUUCUUGGAUUUAUUGAAGACUAACUACUGCGAAAGCAUUUGCCAAGGAUGUUUCCAUUAAUCAAAG
rnacentral:rRNA from 1 species